GGUGUUGAGGAAAGAGGGAGGAGGACUGUCAAUUUUUUUGAGAUGUGGGUAGCUAUUUGUAUUUUCUUAAGGAUAGGCAGUUUAAGUUUAUACAUUUUACAUACUCUGUAUAUUAACCAAAUACUGGGUUCUUUGGUUUCCAGUAUUCUAUCUCCUUUGGAAAAAAAUUGAUUCAUUUGAAAUAUGGUGUGGGAGGAGAGCUCUACAAAUAUGCUGUACUGCUAGAAAGACAAGAAGUGGGUCCUAGAGCAAACCAAGCCUAAACUGCAACUGGAGGCAAAAAUGAUAAACCGGCGUCUGUUCUUUCAGCACAUCAUGAGAAGGCAAGAUUCUUUGGAAAAGAUGAUGCUGGGAAAAGAAGUCAGCAGGAAAAGAGGGAGGCCAAUAUGAGAUGGGUUGACUCCAUGAAGGAAGCCGUAGGCAUAAGUCUACAGGAGCUGAGUAGGGCUGUUGAGGACAGGAUGUUGUGGAUAUCACUCAUUUAUAGGGUUGCCAGUGAUCAGAGCUGACUUGAUGGCACGUAACAACAACAAUCUUGCUUUGACCUUGUAAAUUCAGAUACAUAGGAAGAAACUUACCCAUUGAGUUCAAGCACUCAUGAUAAGAUAGAGUGUUCCUGACUACUGUCCCUGACAAGGGGCUUCAUCCAACACAGGCUUCCACAAGAGGGACACACUGCCCCAAGCCCAACAAGAUUUAGCCAUCAUCUUAGACAGUUAUCUAUAUGGUAGAAGAUUAAGAGUUCCCACAGCAUCUUUGUUACAGGUAGAAGUGUGGGAAAUGAUGAGAUUGAGACUGAGUGAUAAACACUGCCUGGAGAGAAAAAGGCCCAGCUUCUUGUAGAGGCAGUAGGAGUCUCCUGGGAGAUUGUGGGAUUUAAACAUAUUUGAGUUUGGGACACAUCCUAAGGAUGCACACAUAAUUACAUGAUCCCAGGUUCAAGAAUAGCACUGAUCCAUCAUUAGAAAAUAGGAUAUUCUGGGUUUGUCCCCAGAAAUCAGACAUAACACAUGAUCACUCUGAGUACGUACAUUACAACUUGAGGGGUUGAAGCUGGAGUAUAAGCAAGGGGAGAAAUUACCCUUAAGACAAUCUGGAGAAAACAAAAGAAAACAAAACAGAAGAAAAGUUCUUCCUGGGGUCAGAAGCCCUCCUUCAGUCCUUUGAAUGAGCAGCCAUACUAUUCCAAGGCUUUGAGUCUCACAUGGAGACUAGGAGCCUAGAGACCUCAAUACAGGCUUUUUUUGGGAAUUGGUGAAUGGAAUAAUUUUUGCCAAGAGAGCUUAGGUUUCUUUUUACCACUUCUAAGUCAGGAUUGCAUUUUCAGGGUUUAACCGGAAAAAAAAAGAUCAACUAAGUUUCAUGAGUCUAGAAGUCAGUGGUGUGAGAUCUGGGACUUUAAGUUUCUAGAGCUAUGCUGAGGUAGACAGCAUUGGGUCAGCUGCUUGGUUUCUUUGUUCCUAAAAGGCCCUCAAAGCAAUGUAAAGGAACAAUUCGGACCAUUACUAGCCUGAAUUUAAGAAGUAAGUGGUUAGUGUCUAGAAUUAGUUAUGUCAUAUAAGUAGGACUAUCCCAUUACCAAGCUGUUCUCCUCCACUGGGAGAACCAUAACCGAUUUACAAUUUGUAUUAAGUUCAAUAGCUAAGAAGAAUUCAGAGCUUGGGACACAAGAGCAGGAAAAGACCCUUAUUCCAUAUUGUCUUUUCCUCUUCCCUCCCUGAGGAUUUCUACCUUAUUUCCCAGAAAUGAACCUUUCUGGUCCCUCUUGGUCUUACUCCUCCCAGGAGACAAAAAUGAUUUGAUUGUGCAAUAAAGCUAAUGCUCUAUUUCUGAUCUGUUUGCUUGUGCCUGUUUAAUCGUUAAUAACUUCAGAGGGGAGGGAAGAUGUUUGGCAUUUUGGGAGGGCUACUAACAUCUAUUACCACCUGUUCAGAGAGGAACUCUGAAGUUGCUGUGUGCAGCAUUCAUGAAGCCUCCUCAGCUGUUUGUCGACUGCAUCUUCUUUUCAGUCUACGGAGCACUGAGCUUGGGGCGGCAAAGAGGCUGCUUUGCUCCAUUCUCACGUGGUAGGAAUCACAUGAUGCUGAGAUAUUCCUACCAAGAGUCAUCACAGCCUGAAACAGAAGAAUCUUCAUUUGUGUUACGCUGGAUCCAGGAUCUCUUCUCCAAAGGUAGGUCGCUGCAGGUGAGGACAAUCUAACCUUGCUGCUUCAGCAGUCUCAUCAGCAAGUGUUGACAGAUGUUUGUGAACUUCUGCAUUUCAUGACACAGUAGCUUCAGAAUUUACUAGGAUUAUGGAUCUUUAUUCUGAAAUAUGAGAAUGAAGACAUAGCUCAGCCCUCAUAUUCAGGAAGUAGCUUUUCAUACACUUCAAGGAUAAAACUUAGAAUCCCUCGUUGUAGGAUGAGGACCCAUGAUCAGAUGUGAAGGCUGAGAGCAGGAUGCCAAUUGGGUGCGUAAUUAGAUUCUUUAACCAUCUAAUUCCUCCGGAUCCAGUUCUUCCUAUGAAUUCUGUCAGCUAACUUCUAUGAGCUUGUUUGAUUUUCCUGUUAACUAGACUGGCAGAAUCACCAUCACAUUGGCUCCAUUACAGUUUGGCAUUGCUUCCUGAGGGAAAAGGAUUCUUGGGCACAUAGGCUAUUUCUAGGCCUCCACUGUUACAUCAAGAAACUCCAAACUGCAUAGUGUGGCCCUGUUAAGGGACACGAUGGCUCUCUCCCAAACCUUUCUGGACCUAAGUCCUAGGUUGAACUCAGUGAUGCUCAAGCUAUCACCUCAAACCUGGUUAGUAUCAUCCUUGUCCUUCCUCCACUAUCCAGGUGAUCCCUCAUUCCCUGGUCUCUCAGUGAGAAUGUCCUGCACUGAUUUUCACUGUUAUAUUGAAAUAUAUUCUGCUGCUAAAAGGUCUUAGCUAUUGGUCAAAGGAGAACAUGUUCUCACAGUAUAACUUACAGUCUGGCAGAAGAGCCCCAUCAAAACACUUGUGAUUCAAGGAAGGUUGCUCAUAGACUCAUUUAAGCUGACAGUUAAGUGAUAAAGGACAUGACUACACUUAAGAGGAGAAAAGUCUUCCAGUCUGAAGAAACAAAGUAUGAAGACACUGAGGCAGGAAAGUUUGGUACUUCCCAGGAAGCAGAAGAAAGUUGACGUGGAUUAACUGUAGGAGUUACAUCCUGGGGUUCCAAGUAAUACUUACAUUCCUUUCUCCUAUAGGUACUAGACAAUUAAGACCUGGGAUUUGAGUAAAUAUUUUAGUGCCUGGCGUAAGUUCAACACUUCUAAGCUUUUCACAUUUGUUUGCUUCCUUAGUUUUUACAAGUAUCUUACAUGAUAAGUACUAUUAUCCUGAUUUUACAGGCAUGGAAACACUGAGGAACAGAGAGGUUAAAUAGUUUCAGAGGACACACAGGUAAUAAGUGAUAGAGCUGUGAAUCAAACCCAGGUAGUCUGGUAUCAGAAUUCAUGGUUUUAGCAAAUAUACUAUAUUGCACCACCAUAGGAAUUACAACAUUGGCUUGGAUGAUUAAACUAUUGGAGUGUGGACCAGUUUCUAAAGCUGUCACUACCCCCACUUUUCUCAAUGUAAGGUGAUAUUUUCAUGAUCUGAGCAGACACUAGCCAGCUUCAUGAAGAAACAUCACUCGUCUUUCACAUAUGGGCUACAGAGAGCCUCAGGAAGGUAUAACUACGCAGUAGAAAAAUAUGGGCCAGUAGUAUUUGGCUUUUGCAAUCUCCAUUAGAUAGACAGAUCCAUAUGCAUCUCUGUGAAGGGGCCAGUGAGAUAUGAAGAGGGGAGUCACAAGAGUUUCUUCCAAUACCUCUCCCCUCAGGCGGUAGGUAAGCCCCUUCAUAGAAACAGGGAGAUCAUUAACCUGCCCUCCUCACAAUGAUUGAGUAGAGGCAAGCAGGAAGAGGAUUCCCGUACUGCAACACCAGUAACAUUUGGAUUCAGAAAACUGCAGACUGUUAAAUUUCCCAUUUCAGGAGCCAGAUGCAAGGUUUUAAAAGAACCUGGAUAAACCCAAAAACUGUCUUUCUGCGCAAGGAUAAGGAACUUUUUUGAACAUUAGGCAGCCAUUGGUGGGGAAGGUGACUGAUUAUAAGAGGUACUCUGUCAGAGGAAUGAGUGUUUAUGGUUUGUUACUUGACAGUCAAGUCAAAGAGUGAUUCUUUAAGAAGAUGCAUUAGCUCUUGGUCAUUGCAGAAGAGACAUUACAAAGCUUGCUGACCCAGAAACAAGUGUAAGUAACACACAACAGCCAGAAGGAAAAAGCGUGUACUGUAUUUGCAUUAACCAUACAUCCCCACCAACACAUAUUCCUACAGUUUUUAUGGCUAUUGAUGCCACUACCUCUGUAGAGAGCUUGAGUAAUGCAGCCAAUCCUAAGUCUGCUUAUAGGAACGGGAAGGAGACAGACCUUCAGUGUAGCUCUUACGUGCAGUGAGUCCAGACUUGCCCUCUCACAAGAACUAUUACUUCCCAUUUAGAUCUACUCAAGAAGAGAAUUCUUGAUACCAGUUUAGGACAUGCAAACUCCAGAGAAGCCCCUGAUGGGGGCUUGGGAUCCUCAGUGACAGAACACAGCAAUGCAAGAGCUGAAGAUGUUAGGUUGAAAGCAACUCCUACUCCCAUAGGACUGCUGCUUUCCCUGAGGGAAAGUAGUUGGGAAUACAGACACCUGUGGCACUCUACUGCAAGGAGAACCUUCUCCUGAACAUGGCAGUUCUUAAGUUGUCCCUGCUUUCAUCUUCCCUGCUACAAACUCUUUCCCCAUCCUUUGAUCCAGACCUUGACUGGCUUCCUUCCCAAAAUAUGGCAGCUGCAACUUUUUCACCACACUAAUUAUCACUGUUAGUGGUGGCUGGUAUGCUGUGAGACAUUUUUCUAAAGUUUUUGUGAGAGCUUAUAGGAAACGGGAUCCUAGCUAUCCCUAUCAUGAGCCAUUGCAACACAAAACAGAAGAGUUUUCAUUUAUCCUACAUUACAUCAAGGUAAUCUCUCCAAAGGAAGUCAGACACGAGUGAGACUAUCUAACCCUGCAGGGUCCACAGUCUUAUUAGUGAUGAUCAUCUGUGAUAUUAUGAAUUAAGGACAUAGCCCAGCCCUCAGUCAGAACUACUCAUGCACUCUAAGUAAAAAACACUUUGAAUCCCCUUUAAGGGAUAGACAAAUGAGUCCUACAGGAAGAGCAGUUAGAUUUCAUCCAUCAACAAGGUCUCAGUGCAUAUCAUGGCUUCUUAUGCCUGCAUCAGGAUUCUUUCUUUCUCUAAGGACAGAAGUAGUGUGAAGGAAAGAGGAAAACUUCUAGGAUCAGUCACAAUCCUAUUUACUUGUCCAAUUCCAUCCCCCAGCCCAUAUACAUUCCAGAGAUCUUAUUGUUUAAAUCAGAGUAUUAUGAGGUGAGACUCAACUGUACACCAAGUAACAUGACAGCAGAAAACUGUCACAAAAAUGGGUUAUGAAGUAGAGAUUCUUGAAGUCAAAGAUCUGUAGGUUGGAUAUGAAGAUACAUGGAAGGGAACUCUCGGGCUUAGGAUCCCACAAUAAAACUGCAGAUUGGUGAUUCAACAGGAUUGCUAUGAUUGAGUCUAGGGCCAUGAGAGAUAUUAGAGAGAUCACUUGAGACAAAGGUCAAAGAAUCUUAAGGACUGAACAGCUAGGAGCCAAGGAAGUACACAGUCAGAGGGACCAUGAGCUCUUCCUAUGAGGACAAAGUAAACGCCAAGUCCUGAGCUCCAAAGGUAAAGGAAGAGGGAGGCUGAACAGGGAUAUGAGGACAUUACAGAUAGUAUGUUCCAUCCCCCACUAUGAAUCAUUCCCUAGUCUUGGGACUUGCCUCCAGAAUUCCAGCAAGACAAAUGGAAUCACAAUCUAAAUGAACACUCAAGUGUCUUCCAGAUUUCAAGUUGCCUCAGAAGGAAGUUGAUUAAGAGGAAUGGAGAGAAUCAGAGAAGAUAAAUUAGGCUAAUAGCCCUCGUAUCCUGAAAAGAGGCUUUGCUAAAAAAACCGAUCUCAGACAAGACAGACGUCCAUUUUGUAGGACUAUUUUGAACCCUUCCUGAAAGAAGGUCUGGAUGGCUUUAGGGCAGAAGGUAGCUCUAAAGGAGGCCUAGCCAAGGAACAAGGGGGACAAUAGACUGUAUACAUAGAUAGCUUCCCGUUGCUUUGGGAUAUUUUGAGUCAGUAUAGGAAAGAAAGUAGCCCAUAACCCUCCCUCUCUAGGAGGGUGGGACUAGUUUUAAGAGGUUAUGCUACAGUCAGACCCAGAGCUUGAGCCAACCAGAUAAGGUCCUUCUUGCAGGCUUCCAUUGUAAGAGACACUAAGUCAAGAAUUAAGAAUGCCCUUCCUAAUGAAAGCAGGGUCAAUGCUCCCACCCCAGCCCCAUAGCUAGCAUCAUCUUUGAGAGUUAUUCCCAGUCUCAUGUUUUCCAACCCACAACAAGCCAAGUAAAGGAAGCCAGGAAAGGAGGAACGAGCUCCACCUGAAGAGGUCGUUUCCAGUAUUUGAUCAACCCAAAGUGUUUCUUCAACUCAGUACCAAGUUUCACUUUUUCACUAGUGAGAUGAAAGAAUGUUCAGUUUAUUAUCCAAGCUCGACCUCUUAGGCAUAUUUUGUGAUUAGGAGUGAGAGGAAAGGAAAGGAAAGGAGACUGAAUAUAGGUGCCAUCUUCAUUUUGCCUGUCUUUCCUACAGCAAAGCAGUGGGAAAUUCCCUCUCAAAGGAGGCAGAAACAGAAGAGCAGAGAGAAUUAUACAUUGACAGAAAAGAGAAACCAGCUUAGAUGUCUCCAGGACUCUAAGGCCUCAAGGUCAACCUUCCCUUCAAUCAGCAGCAGACCAGAUAGGCUGGGUAAGUCUUGCUUAAGUAGAAGGUGAGAGAACAUGACUGGUUAGAGUUGGAGGCUAGACACGAUUUGUCAGGCUGGAGCCAAUGAGCUUCCUCAAUCUAAGUCAGAAGUAAAGUGGCAGCUGAGACUAGUGCUGAUCUUUUUUUUUUUUAAUUGGGAGGCCCCUGAUUGUGUCCACCUGUAACUAUAGUAUGAUAAUUCACCUUCCAACAAUUAUUAUCAGGAUAUGCAAGAAAAAAAGUUGCAACUGCCAGAAAUGGGCUAGAAUCUUAAAUUUGAUAGUGAAAAUAAACUCAGUAAAUAGUGAUACUACACCAUUCCAUAUGGAAAGCAAUAGAUAUUUCUUUUUUAAAAUAUUAUAGCAGAAGACCCAAGACAUAUCACUUUCUAUGUGAGCAGAAAUCACUGCCAAUUCCCUGUUUUUUAAGGUCUCUUUUUACCGGCCCUAAACCUGUCCCUUCAGAUACAUGUUUGGGCAAAACAAGAUGUGUAACUAGUGUGCAUUCAGUCACUUCAUGGUCUCAAAUGUUCCUUUAGAUAGCUGCAUUGAUAUCAAAACCCACUUUUCA
rnacentral:lncRNA from 1 species